rnacentral:rRNA from 1 species
ACUGGUUGAUCCUGCCAGUAGCAUAUGCUUGACUUGGAGACUAAGCCAUGCAUGUCUAAGUAUAAGUUAUAUACAGCAAAACUGCGAAUGGCUCAUUAAAACAGUUAUAAUUUCUUUGGUGAUUUUAUUACAUGGAUAACCGUGGGAAACUAGGGCUAAUACAUGCAUAAAGGCCGCAAGGCUGUAUUUAUUAGUCUUAAACCAAUAUGGGUCAACCAUAUUAGAGGAAUCAUAAUAACUUAUCGAAGCGCAGUAAAAUGUGCUACACCAUAUAAGUUUCUGCCCUAUCAGCUCUCGAUGGUAGUGUAUUGGACUACCAUGGCUAUCACGGGUAGCGGGGAAUUGGGGUUCGAUUCCGGAGAGGGAGCCUGAGAAACGGCUACCAUUUCUAAGGAAGGCAGCAGGCGCGUAAAUUACCCAAUCCUGACUCAGGGAGGUAGUUAAUAGAAAUAACAUACUCGGUCCUUCGGGACUCUGAGAAUGUAAUGAGGGCAGCUUAAAACACUGUUCGAAUCCUAUUGGAGGGCAAGUCUGGUGCCAGCAGCCGCGGUAAUUCCAGCUCCGAUAGCGUAUGUUAAUGUUGUUGCAGUUAAAACGCUCGUAGUUGAAACUCCGGCGAGUUCUACUCGUCUGCCUGCAAAAACUGACGAUGAAGAAAUGAUUUGUCUUUUGGAGCAGGCUUUCACCAUGAACAAAAUAGAGUGCUCAAGGCAGGCUAUUGCUUGAAUAAUUCAGCAUGGAAUAUAAAAUAGGACUUUAUCCAUUUUAUUGGUUAUCGGGUAAAGUAAUGAUUAACAGAAACAGUUGGGGGCAUCAGUACUUAAUAGUCAGAGGUGAAAUUCUAUGAUUUAUUAAAGACUAACUAAUGCGAAAGCAUUUGCCAAGGAUGUUUUCAUUAAUCAAGAACGAAAGUUAGGGGAUCAAAGACGAUUAGAUACCGUCGUAGUCCUAACCAUAAACUAUGCCGACUAGGGAUUGGUGAGGAAAACCCUCAUCAGCACCUAAUGAGAAAUCAAAGUCUUUGGGCUCUGGGGGGAGUAUGGUCGCAAGGCUGAAACUUAAAGGAAUAGACGGAAAGGCACACCAGGAGUGGAGUCUGCGGCUUAAUUUGAUUCAACACGGGAAAACUUACCAGGGCAAGAAAAAACUGAUAGGAUUGACAGUUUGAUAGCGCUUUCUUGAUCCGGUAGCAAGUGGUGCAUGGCCGUUCUUAGUUGGUGGAG